CCAAAAGCAACAAACAAAUAUUUACUUCCAUUCCAUUCCUUUCCUCUCCAGUAGCUUCCGAACAAUCCAACACCCGCCGCCGCUGCCGCCGCUAUUCAAAUUCCAAAACCAGCCACCGCCGUUGCAGUUAUCAUUCGGAUUUCGGCACCCGGGUGAAAUUCAAAGAGAGUUUGAAGCAAAUAUUACAUUUGAAGACUUAAACCACGAAUUCAGCAGAAUCACUCCAAGAUUGAGCUUGAAACUUCAACAAGACCACCACCAAGUUCUUCUUUACAAAGCUCAAGAAGGAAUGUAUGGUAGAAACACUCAAAUCAAGCUGAAUUUGGGAUGAUUUUUUAUGGUUUGAGGGGGUUUUCAACUAUGCAGCAGUUUUUUACAACACUUCUAACAUCUACAAAGUGGGUCGUACCCAUAUUAUCACCGGGAUAAGAUACCUAGUUCCAGCAGACCUUACUGUAGGACAGUUUGUUUAUGUCAUCUGUAAAAGGAUUAAAUUGAGCCUGGAGAAAGCGAUCUUUAUCUUUGUGGACAAUGUCCUCCCUUCUACAGGUACAUUCUUUUCCUCUAUAAUAAAUUGUAGGACAUGUCUAGGACCACUUCUAAAAAUGAAAGAAGUUAGGCAUGAAGCUGUCUGCUAUUUUUUUUAGUACAACAUCGUAGAAAAGAAUUAUACCUUCGACUUUUAGGGAUGAGGAUCAUGUCAAUUUAAAUUUAAAGAUGUCAUUUUUAUUAUCACGUUGGUGUGUAUGUGUUGAAAAGUUGGUGCGAGUGGCACGUCUCUACU